rnacentral:rRNA from 1 species
UACAGAGGGUGCAAGCGUUGUUCGGAAUUACUGGGCGUAAAGCGCGUGUAGGCGGUUUGGUAAGUCCUGUGUGAAAGCCCUGGGCUCAACCCAGGAAGUGCGCAGGAUACUGCUUGACUGGAGUGACGGAGAGGAUGGCGGAAUUCCCGGUGUAGAGGUGAAAUUCGUAGAUAUCGGGAGGAACACCUGUGGCGAAGGCGGCCAUCUGGACGUCAACUGACGCUGAGACGCGAAAGCGUGGGGAGCGAACAGG